rnacentral:rRNA from 1 species
UGGGAACUCUGAAGAUACUCGCCCCGGUUAACGGGGAGGAAGGUGGGGAUGACGUCAAGUCCUCAUGGCCCUUAUGCCCAGGGCUACACACGUGCUACAAUGGCAUAUACAAAGGGUCGCGAUACCGCGAGGUGGAGCCAAUCCCAUAAAGUAUGCCACAGUUCGGAUUGGAGUCUGCAACUCGACUCCAUGAAGUUGGAAUCGCUAGUAAUCGCAGAUCAGCAUGCUGCGGUGAAUACGUUCCCGGGCCUU